rnacentral:snRNA from 1 species
GUCCCACUGCAUAGAAUACUUGA